AUCGAGCUUUCGGUGCAGAAGCCGCUAUUAACGUGGUGACGCAAGAGUAGGGGUUUCUUUCGGCCUCCAGCGGAUAAUAAAGAGUUGUAGGCCGGCGGAAACUACUUGCUUUUACGUUGCAUUACCUUCGCUGCGGCUUCCCGUCAAUGAUGCGUUUU